rfam:Strigamia maritima strain Brora ctg7180001233568, whole genome shotgun sequence.
CAGGUAGCUUAAUGGUAAAGCACCCAACUGACAAUUGGGGGAUCUGGGCUCAGGUUCCGGCCUG